UAAGUGACUAAGCGUACACGGUGGAUGCCUUGGCAGUCAGAGGCGAUGAAAGACGUAGUAACUUGCGAUAAGCCCAGAUUAGGUAGUAACAACCAUUUGAGUCUGGGAUUUCUGAAUGGGGAAACCCACGUGCAUAAGCACGUAUCCUUACCUGAAUACAUAGGGUAAGGAGGCGAACCGGGGGAACUGAAACAUCUAAGUACCCCGAGGAAAAGAAAUCAACCGAGAUUCCGAAAGUAGCGGCGAGCGAAAUUGGACUAGCCCUUAAGCUUUACACGCGUUAGACGAACGGUCUGGAAAGUCCGACGAUACAGGGUGAUAGUCCCGUAGUUGACGACGUGUGUUCAGUGAAAUCGAGUAGGGCGGGACACGUGAUAUCCUGUCUGAAUAUGGGGGGACCAUCCUCCAAGGCUAAAUACUACUGACUGACCGAUAGUGAACCAGUACCGUGAGGGAAAGGCGAAAAGAACCCCUGUGAGGGGAGUGAAAUAGAACCUGAAACCGUGUACGUACAAGCAGUAGGAGCAGGCUUUGUCCUGUGACUGCGUACCUUUUGUAUAAUGGGUCAGCGACUUAUAUUCAGUGGCAAGGUUAACCAUCUAGGGGAGCCGUAGGGAAACCGAGUCUUAACUGGGCGUUCAGUCUCUGGAUAUAGACCCGAAACCAGGUGAUCUAGCCAUGGGCAGGUUGAAGGUUGAGUAACAUCAACUGGAGGACCGAACCGACUAAUGUUGAAAAAUUAGCGGAUGACUUGUGGCUAGGGGUGAAAGGCCAAUCAAACCUGGAGAUAGCUGGUUCUCCCCGAAAGCUAUUUAGGUAGCGCCUCGGACGAAUACUACUGGGGGUAGAGCACUGUUAAGGCUAGGGGGUCAUCCCGACUUACCAACCCUUUGCAAACUCCGAAUACCAGUAAGUACUAUCCGGGAGACACACGGCGGGUGCUAACGUCCGUCGUGGAGAGGGAAACAACCCAGACCGCCAGCUAAGGUCCCAAAUUACUACUAAGUGGGAAACGAUGUGGGAAGGCUCAGACAGCCAGGAUGUUGGCUUAGAAGCAGCCAUCAUUUAAAGAAAGCGUAAUAGCUCACUGGUCGAGUCGGCCUGCGCGGAAGAUGUAACGGGGCUAAGUAGUAAACCGAAGCUGCGGCAAUAUACUUUUGUAUAUUGGGUAGGGGAGCGUUCUGUAAGCGGUUGAAGGUGUGUGGUAACGCAUGCUGGACGUAUCAGAAGUGCGAAUGCUGACAUGAGUAACGAUAAAGGGGGUGAAAAACCUCCUCGCCGGAAGACCAAGGGUUCCUGUCCAACGUUAAUCGGGGCAGGGUAAGUCGACCCCUAAGGCGAGGCCGAAAGGCGUAGUCGAUGGGAAACGGGUUAAUAUUCCCGUACUUCUUACAAUUGCGAUGGGGGGACGGAGAAGGCUAGGUGGGCCUGGCGACGGUUGUCCAGGUUCAAGUGCGUAGGCUUAAGAGUUAGGUAAAUCCGGCUCUUUUUAAGGCUGAGACACGACGUCGAGCACCUACGGGUGUGAAGUCAUUGAUGCCAUGCUUCCAGGAAAAGCCUCUAAGCUUCAGAUUGUAAGGAAUCGUACCCCAAACCGACACAGGUGGUCGGGUAGAGAAUACCAAGGCGCUUGAGAGAACUCGGGUGAAGGAACUAGGCAAAAUGGUACCGUAACUUCGGGAGAAGGUACGCUCUCGACGGUGAAGUCCCUUGCGGAUGGAGCUAUUGAGAGUCGCAGAUACCAGGUGGCUGCAACUGUUUAUUAAAAACACAGCACUGUGCAAAAUCGUAAGAUGACGUAUACGGUGUGACGCCUGCCCGGUGCCGGAAGGUUAAUUGAUGGGGUUAGACUUCGGUCGAAGCUCUUGAUCGAAGCCCCGGUAAACGGCGGCCGUAACUAUAACGGUCCUAAGGUAGCGAAAUUCCUUGUCGGGUAAGUUCCGACCUGCACGAAUGGCGUAAUGAUGGCCACGCUGUCUCCACCCGAGACUCAGUGAAAUUGAAAUCGCUGUGAAGAUGCAGUGUACCCGCGGCUAGACGGAAAGACCCCGUGAACCUUUACUACAGCUUGGCACUGAACAUUGACCCUACAUGUGUAGGAUAGGUGGGAGGCUUUGAAGCACGUACGCCAGUAUGUGUGGAGCCGUCCUUGAAAUACCACCCUUGUAGUGUUGAUGUUCUAACGUCGACCCCUUAUCGGGGUUGCGGACAGUGCCUGGUGGGUAGUUUGACUGGGGCGGUCUCCUCCCAAAGAGUAACGGAGGAGCACGAAGGUGGGCUAAUCACGGUUGGACAUCGUGAGGUUAGUGCAAUGGCAUAAGCCCGCUUGACUGCGAGAAUGACAAUUCGAGCAGGUGCGAAAGCAGGUCAUAGUGAUCCGGUGGUUCUGAAUGGAAGGGCCAUCGCUCAACGGAUAAAAGGUACUCCGGGGAUAACAGGCUGAUACCGCCCAAGAGUUCAUAUCGACGGCGGUGUUUGGCACCUCGAUGUCGGCUCAUCACAUCCUGGGGCUGAAGUCGGUCCCAAGGGUAUGGCUGUUCGCCAUUUAAAGUGGUACGCGAGCUGGGUUUAGAACGUCGUGAGACAGUUCGGUCCCUAUCUGCCGUGGGCGUUGGAAGAUUGAAGGGGGCUGCUCCUAGUACGAGAGGACCGGAGUGGACGAACCUCUGGUGUUCGGGUUGUGUCGCCAGACGCAUUGCCCGGUAGCUAAGUUCGGAAUCGAUAACCGCUGAAAGCAUCUAAGCGGGAAGCGAGCCCUGAGAUGAGUCUUCCCUGAUACUUUAAGUAUCCUAAAGGGUUGUCGGAGACUACGACGUUGAUAGGUCAGGUGUGUAAGUGCUGUGAGGCAUUGAGCUAACUGAUACUAAUUGCCCGUGAGGCUUAACCA
rnacentral:rRNA from 1 species